rnacentral:rRNA from 1 species
CGAAAAUAUUAUAUUAUGGAAAAUUAAACAUAUAGUACUCCUUUUUAUUUGUUUGCGUAUAUUAUUAUAACGAUGGCUUGUGUUACAAAUUAAUAAUUUAUACACGAGAAGUGUCAAUAUAUAAUUAUCACAAAACAUAAAAAUUUAAAAAGGGAAAGUUUAUUUAACUUUUAUAUAUAUAGUUUAAUACAUUUUUCCACAAAUUAAACGUUUUAUUUGUGAUAUAUUUAAUACAUAUAAUUAUUUACAUUCUGUGUGUUGUUAAUUCAAUAUAAAAUUGACGCACACCACAAUGUUUUAUUAUAUAAUAUUAUUAUAUUAGAACACACAAAACGUUAUGAAAAUUUCCGUAUGGUUUUACUUUAAACCGUUUUGGAGUAAAUGUACAAAAAAAAAGGUUUAUUUACCUUUUCUUUUUGUUUUAAGUAAAAUUAUAUAUUUUGUUGGGAGUUGGUACACACUAGGUAUGUCAAAGUUAAUUUAUUUAUUAUACUUUAGUUUAAU